rnacentral:rRNA from 1 species
ACGCUGGCGGCAGGCCUAACACAUGCAAGUCGAGCGGUAGAGAGAAGCUUGCUUCUCUUGAGAGCGGCGGACGGGUGAGUAAUGCCUAGGAAUCUGCCUGGUAGUGGGGGAUAACGUUCGGAAACGGACGCUAAUACCGCAUACGUCCUACGGGAGAAAGCAGGGGACCUUCGGGCCUUGCGCUAUCAGAUGAGCCUAGGUCGGAUUAGCUAGUUGGUGGGGUAAUGGCUCACCAAGGCGACGAUCCGUAACUGGUCUGAGAGGAUGAUCAGUCACACUGGAACUGAGACACGGUCCAGACUCCUACGGGAGGCAGCAGUGGGGAAUAUUGGACAAUGGGCGAAAGCCUGAUCCAGCCAUGCCGCGUGUGUGAAGAAGGUCUUCGGAUUGUAAAGCACUUUAAGUUGGGAGGAAGGGUUGUAGAUUAAUACUCUGCAAUUUUGACGUUACCGACAGAAUAAGCACCGGCUAACUCUGUGCCAGCAGCCGCGGUAAUACAGAGGGUGCAAGCGUUAAUCGGAAUUACUGGGCGUAAAGCGCGCGUAGGUGGUUAGUUAAGUUGGAUGUGAAAUCCCCGGGCUCAACCUGGGAACUGCAUUCAAAACUGACUGACUAGAGUAUGGUAGAGGGUGGUGGAAUUCCCUGUGUAGCGGUGAAAUGCGUAGAUAUAGGAAGGAACACCAGUGGCGAAGGCGACCACCGGACUGAUACUGACACUGAGGUGCGAAAGCGUGGGGAGCAAAC